CAGUCGCCACGGUAAUACAGAGGGUGCGAGCGUUAAUCGGAUUUACUGGGCGUAAAGCGUGCGUAGGCGGCUUCUUAAGUCGGAUGUGAAAUCCCUGAGCUUAACUUAGGAAUUGCAUUCGAUACUGGGAAGCUAGAGUAUGGGAGAGGAUGGUAGAAUUCCAGGUGUAGCGGUGAAAUGCGUAGAGAUCUGGAGGAAUACCGAUGGCGAAGGCAGCCAUCUGGCCUAAUUCUGACGCUGAGGUACGAAAGCAUGGGGAGCAAACAGGAUUAGAUACCCCGGUAGUCCCUGUCUCUUAUAC
rnacentral:rRNA from 1 species